UCAAAAUUGAGUUAAGGGAUCAAAGUACCCAUUUUGUUUUCUACUUGGGUUUUUCAAUUUCUUAACUUUAACUAUUGAAUUAAAGUAUUUCAUUUAUACUAAUUAAUUGAGUUCAAAUAUAAACAAAUAUAAAAUAGAUCUGCAUUUCAGGGUUCUAUUAUAUUCUAGUAGUGUAAUGUAUUCUAUGUAUAUGUAUAUUAUAGAAAUUGAAAAUACUCUUUCAAUCAAACAAAGAUUUGAAUUAUAUCUAUAUUCGUAUUUUGAGAAAAUCAAGAGAAUCCAAUAGAAUAGGAAAUUGCUUCCUAUUCCAACCGAAUUCUUCUUAAAAUUUCUCUUUCGAUGAACUGACGCUUAACCAGGUUUUAUAUAUAUAGAAAAUGGGGGACCGCGUAAUCCCCAUUCCUGCCCCCCUUUUUCUUUUUUUAAUAUGAUACCGGGAUUGUAAAAAGAAUCCGAAGAAUAAGAGUUGUUUUUUGAUUAUUUCAGAUUCAUUGGAAUCAAUACAAAUCAAAUAGAUGAAACUAAAAAAAAAUUGGACGCAAUUCUCAGUCAGAUAGUAGAAAUCAAAUAUAUUUGAUUUCUACUAUCUGGAUUACGGUGAUUGUAGUCCGAUCCUUUUUUUUUAGACUAAGACCAAAAAUUGAAAACCUUUUUCAUUUUUUUUAAUCAUUGAUUACAUUGAUAAAAAUGAAGAAGUCAGAUUUCAGUGAAAUUAGUCACUUUGACUUACCGUUUUUACGUAAAUUAUAAGUAAAAAAGCAGUAGGAACUAGAAUAAACAGUGCAGUAGCAAUAAAUGCAAGAAUAUUUACUUCCAUAAUCUUUAUUAUGUUUUAUUUCUCUUAAAUUUCCAAUAAAAAAUUCGGGAUUUAAUCCCAUAGAGAUGAUAAGCAUUUCAGGUCCAAGAAGUACCGCUUCUCCAUCAUCAUACCAACAAAUAGGAGUUUUGCACUUUCGUCCAUAUAAAGCUUCAAAAGGAGCCAUACCAAUACUGGCUUGGUAGCUAUUGUUGUAAGUAAACUCAAUCAAUGGCAAACAAUCCAUCCAGCUACCUUGUUGCUCUAUAAUACACGCCCGAAGUAGAUCCUCUAGAGUCUGAAUGGUUCGUUCAGUCUGACCAUCUGUUUGAGGAUGAUAAGCUGAACUAAGCUUCAGCUUUGUCCCCAAGGCUUCAUGUAGACUCGUCCAAAAUCGUGAAGUAAACCUCGGAUCCCUGUCGGAUACAAUACUGGAAGGAAUUCCAUGCAACCUUACUACUUCCUUGAUGUACAACUCCACGAGUUUCUCCAUUCUAUACUUCAUAUUCACUGGGAUAAAAUGAGCAGAUUUGGUGAGUCGAUUUACUAUGACCCACACAGCAUCAUGUCCACGACUAGUCUUGGGUAAACUAGAUACAAAAUCCAUAGAUAUGCUCUCCCAUUUCCAUUCCGGAAUUUCCAAUGGCUUCAAUUCUCCCGAUGGUCGUUGGUGCUCAACCUUAGCCUUUUGACAUGUCAAACAUAUUGCUACAUAUUCAGCUACAUCUUUCUUCAUACCAUGCCACCAAAAACUUCUCUUCAAAUCUUGGUACAUCUUAGUCAUUCCUGGGUGGAAACUAAGACGACUUUUAUGAGCUUCUUCCAAGAUCUUAACUCUCAAAUCAUCUAAAGAUGGCACACAUAUCCUCCCCUUGAAUCUAAUUAACCCAGUUGUGUCCUUCUCAAACUCCACACCCUUAUCCCCCAUUAUUUCUAACACUUUGCCUUGCAAAAACGGGUCAUCCUCUUGAGCCUCGCGUAUGUGAUUUACGAAUUCAUUGGUGAUCUGUAAUGCUCCCACAAAUAAGCUCUUGGGUCGCACCUCGAUUGCUAGAUUCAAAUCUCGGAACUCUUCUAUCAAUCUCUGCUCCAAACUCAUCAUAGUCGCAACAUGUAAGGAUUUCCGGCUUAGCGCAUCGGCUACUACAUUAGCCUUUCCUGGAUGGUAGGAAAGUCCAAAAUCAUAAUCCUUGAGGAACUCCAUCCAUCUUCGUUGCCUCAUAUUGAGUUCCUUCUGAUCGAACAAGUAUUUGAGACUCUUGUGAUCACUGAAAACUUCAAAACGAGUACCGUACAAAUAAUGCCUCCAAAUCUUUAAGGCAAAGACCACCGCUGCUAGUUCCAAGUCAUGAGUCGGAUAGUUAACUUCAUGAGGACGUAAUUGACGUGAAGCAUAAGCCACUACUUUUCCCUCUUGCAUCAACACACACCCCAAGCCUUGCCCGCUUGCAUCGCAAUACACUUCAAAUGUCCUCUUAGGGUCGGGCAAAAUUAACACUGGAGCUGUCGUCAACCGCCUCUUCAACUCUUGGAAACUUUGAUCACACUUCUCAUUCCAAACAAACUUCUCAUUCUUACGAGUUAACUUAGUUAGAGGCAAUGCCAAUUUAGAAAAUCCCUCAAUGAACUUUCUAUAAUAACCAGCCAACCCCAAGAAGCUUCGAACCUCCGUUGGAGUUGUCGGUUGUUGCCACUCCAUAACCGACACCACCUUGUUCGGAUCUACCGCAACCCCGUCUCUAGAAAUCACGUGCCCCAAGAACUGCACUUUCUCCAACCAAAAGUCACAUUUCGACAGUUUGGCGAACAACUUCCUAUCCCUCAGGAUAUGCAACACAAUCCUCAAGUGCUUCUCAUGCUCCUCCUUAUUCCUUGAAUACACUAGGAUAUCAUCAAUAAACACAACCAUGAACUGAUCCAAGUAAUCAUGGAAUAUACGGUUCAUAUAAUCCAUGAAAAUAGCCGGAGCAUUAGUCACUCCAAAUGGCAUGACUAAAUACUCGUAGUGCCCAUACCGGGUCCGAAACGCAGUCUUUGGGAUAUCUUCCUUCUUAACUCGAAUUUGAUGGUACCCCGAUCGCAGAUCGAUCUUUGAAAAUACCGUUGCUCCCCUCAAUUGGUCAAUCAAAUCAUCUAUCCUUGGUAGGGGAUAUUUGUUCUUGAUAGUGACCUUGUUUAACUGCCGGUAGUCUACCCACAUCCUCAUACUUCCAUCCUUCUUCUUAACCAACAAGACCGGCGCUCCCCACGGUGAUGCGCUUGGACGAACAAAUUGUUUGCUCAAAAGGUCCUGCACUUGUGCCUUCACCUCUGCUAGUUCUACCGGAGACAUUCUAUAAGGCGCAAUCGACACUGGAUUCGCCCCAGGCACCAAGUCAAUAAUGAAUUCCACUUCUCUCUCAGGUGGCAAUUCACAUAUGUCGUCGGGAAAAACUUCUGGAAAUUCUGACACCACCGGUAUACAACUAACUUCAGCGUCCCCUUCCACAUACAUAGAGAACAACACCAUGUAAGUUUGAACAUCACCCGUUCCUUCGUUGGCCGCAUCCCCUUUCAACGAUUCACUUGGAACUAUCUCUCCACCAAACACUAGCAUCUUCUCUUUACAGUCUAGAAAGAUAUGGUUAGUAGAUAACCAAUCCAUCCCCAAGAUCACAUCUAGGUGAGCUAAAGGUAGGCAAAUCAAGUCCGCCAUAAAAGAUCGACCCUCAACAAUUAUGGGACACUUCAAACACACCCGAGAGGUGGUUACAGGCUCGCUCGUCGGAGUAGACACCACCAUAUCAUAUGGUAACUCCGUCGCACAUAACCCCAACCUCUUCACACAUGCAUGAGAUAUGAAAGAAUGUGUGGCACCUGAAUCAUAAAGUACAUCUAGUAGUUUAUCAGCAAUCAAACACUUACCCCGUAUCAAAUCGUCGGAGGCAGCUGCUUCUGAUCCACUCAUAGCAAAUACCCGAGAGGGUACUUUUGGUCUUCCACCACUAGUGUUGUUGUUGCUAACAUUACCGCUCCUUGUGGAAUUAGUGGGUCCACGAUUGACGGUGUUAGAAUUGGCCGUCACUGUUGGCCUCCCGGUCACCCUACAUUCUCUAGCAUAAUGGCCCACCUUGCCACAAACAUAGCAACGGCUCUCCUGUGUCUGCUGGAGCUGUGGGCAAUUCGUCUUAAGAUGCGGUCCUCCACACUGAAAACACUGUACUCCAGUCCCCCUUGACUGGCUCAUGUUGGAGGUAGCCAUAGGUUGCUUCCCCUUGUUGCUAGCAUACGGCUUCAUCCUCUUGUUACCAUUCCCUCUGAAAGGAUGGUUUCUCUGAGGUCCUCCAACGCCUCUAGCUUGCCUCUCCUUCAUCUUAUCUUCAAAAAUCCUGCACUUCGUCACCAACUGAUUAAAAUCCGUAAUCUGCAUAUAACUAACCGCCUGUUGGAUCUCCAACCGAAGCCCAUUCUCAAACUGAGCACAUAAAUCUUCCUCAUUCCGAGCAUCUUGGUAUUGAGGCCAAUACUGCAGAAGCUCAUUAAACUUAGCCGUGUACUCCCCAACAGACAUGUUUCCUUGCUUCAAAUCUAGAAAUUCCCUCACCUUCCUCUUCCUGAGAUCUCGUGGAAAGUAAUUCUCCAGCAAUUUGUCCUUGAAGGCGUUCCAAGGAAUCACGCCUCCAGGUGCAACAAACGAAGGCUUCACGAACUUCCACCAAUUCUCGGCCUCCCCUUGGAGCAUAAAUGUCGCAUAAAGAACCUUAUGCUCCUCAAGGCAACCCAUCGCCUCGAAAAUCUUUUCCGUCUCAGCUAACCACAACCUAGCACCUUCCGGAUCAUAGUCUCCACUGAACUUUGGCGGGUGGUUCUUACGGAAAGCCAUGAGUCCUCGAUACUCCGCCGGCUCCACAUCACGUUCCUGCACUAGAGUUUCCAGCACAGCGGUGAUGCGGUCAAGGACAUCACGGUUCUGAUCCCUACCACGUCCUGCCAUACCUAUCCUGUAGGGAAACUAUUAGCACCCAAGAAAUCCUAAAGAGAGAGUGUACCACACAGGCUAUGACAGUUAUAACAACAUCCUUCUCUUUAUACAUACUUAUACACACAACAAUCCUAUGAAUCAGUCACACAUCCAUGCUCAAGACAAUAAGGCAGAAAUACACACAAUGUGUGACUUAACGUCACUCCCCGAAACCUACUUCCAAGUUUCAGAGAUACACAGCAUUCACACAGCAAGACCAUAACAGGUUCACUAGAAUCCAACUUUUGCUCUGAUACCACCAAUUGUGGCGUCCCUAAAUUAAUGAUUGGUUUAAUAGUAAUAAUUUA
rnacentral:lncRNA from 1 species